AAAUCGCCACUUUCCUAACCCGUUUGGUUAAGAAAUGGCGUAAAAAACGCCGUUUAAUUAUUCAAAACGCCGAAAAAAGCGGCGUUCUGUUCCGACAAACGCCGCUUUUUCCGCCACUCGGAUGGCGCCCUGAACGCACCAUCCGAGUGACGUAAAAAGCGGCGUUCAAAGACAGACGGAAACGCCGUUUUUUACGUUACUCGGCACAAAACGCCGUUUUUAUGCAUCUUUGAACGGCGUUUUUUACGGCGUUCUCUGCCAGCUGUAACGGCGUUUAAAACGGCGUUUUAUUGAAAUUAUGCAGGGCACUCCCCAUGGUUCCCUCAUCCAAUUACUUUCAACUCAUUUCACCCAAUCAAAGAAGAGGAAGUGCAGACCACACUAAUGCAUCACCGAUUCACCUUGCUGCUAAGUGAUUGCCUAUUCAGUACCAGUGCUUGUCACAGUAUUCACUUGUAUUAUAAUCUCACUAUGCAUUUUGAUGUGUUUAAGGCAUGAUCGAGCAAACAAACGACAGAAUACUUUUUCUGAAACCUUAACUGUGUUACCUGUUAUGGCAGCUAACAGGGAUCAGCUGUUAGCGCUGCGCCCUGCAGCUGCGCUACCGGCAGACAGACCCUACAUCCCCAGUGAGGGAAGAAACGGGGGUGAUGUCUCCCGAGGACACCUCACACACCAUCUCUCCUUCCUGUAAUCACUUUAAAUGUGAGAUCGCUCCCUGUCCUCCCGUACUGGUGAUGGUGAAGCCAAGGAGAGAAGGCCCAAGUAAUAAACACCCGUU